UGGGGAAUAUUGCACAAUGGGCGAAAGCCUGAUGCAGCAACGCCGCGUGAGUGAUGAAGGCCUUCGGGUUGUAAAGCUCUGUCUUCUGGGACGAUAAUGACGGUACCAGAGGAGGAAGCCACGGCUAACUACGUGCCAGCAGCCGCGGUAAUACGUAGGUGGCAAGCGUUGUCCGGAUUUACUGGGCGUAAAGGAUGCGUAGGCGGAUACUUAAGUCAGAUGUGAAAAUCCCGGGCUUAACUUGGGAACUGCAUUUGAAACUGGGCAUCUAGAGUGCGGGAGAGGAAAGUGGAAUUCCUAGUGUAGCGGUGAAAUGCGUAGAGAUUAGGAAGAACACCAGUGGCGAAGGCGACUUUCUGGACCGUAACUGACGCUGAGGCAUGAAAGCGUGGGGAGCAAACA
rnacentral:rRNA from 1 species